rnacentral:rRNA from 1 species
GUGCCAGCAGCCGCGGUAAUACCGGUGGCUCGAGUGGUGGCCGCUAUUAUUGGGUCUAAAGGGUCCGUAGCCGGCCUGAUAAGUUACCUGGGAAAUCCGGUGGCCUAACCAUCGGGCGGCCAGGUAAUACUAUCAGGCUCGGGACUAGGAGAGACCAGAGGUACUCAUGAGGUAGGAGUGAAAUCCUGUAAUCUUAUGAGGACCACCAGUGGUGAAGACGUCUGGUUAGAAUAGGUCCGACGGUGAGGGACGAAGGCUGGGGGCGCAAACCGGAUUAGAUACCCGGGUAGUCCCAGCAGUAAACGAUGCCAGCUAUGUGUUGCUGGAACCAUGGGUUCCAGCAGUGCCGAAGGGAAGCCGUGAAGCUGGCCACCUGGGAAGUACGGUCGCAAGGCUGAAACUUAAAGGAAUUGGCGGGGGAGUACCACAACCGGUGGAGCCUGCGGUUUAAUUGGAUACAACGCCGGGAAUCUUACCGGAGGGGACAGCAGUAUGAAGGCCAGGCUAAAGACCUUGCCAGAUCAGCUGAGAGGAGGUGCAUGGCCGUCGCCAGUUCGUACCGUGAGGCAUCCUGUUUAGUCAGGCAACGAUCGAGACCCGCAGUCUUAUUUGCCAGCAUGCCCUUUGGGGUGUAUGGGUACAAUGAGACGACCGCCAGCGCUAAGCUGGAGG